UACAGGGGGGGCAAGCGUUGUUCGGAAUUACUGGGCGUAAAGGGCUCGUAGGCGGCCAACUAAGUCAGACGUGAAAUCCCUCGGCUUAACCGGGGAACUGCGUCUGAUACUGGAUGGCUUGAGGUUGGGAGAGGGAUGCGGAAUUCCAGGUGUAGCGGUGAAAUGCGUAGAUAUCUGGAGGAACACCGGUGGCGAAGGCGGCAUCCUGGACCAAUUCUGACGCUGAGUGAGCGAAAGCCAGGGGAGCAAACGGG
rnacentral:rRNA from 1 species